GCCAAGUGUGCUAAAGAUAUCGAGAGACGCACAACGAAAUCCUACCUCGAGUGUGAAGUUCGUGAGAAUUUCUUUUAUGAUUCUUGCUUCGGAAUCCCGAUGGAACCGGUGAGACUGCUUGGUAAAUCUGAGUAUCUUGCCGAAGGCCAAAACGCCCACAACAAACUUUCGGCCAAGCAAAAUAGUCUUGAGACCAGGAUUGUGCGUCUGGAGGAGAAAAACGAAUGAUCCAAUUCCGAAGAAAAAGAAUCAGCGGACCAGAUCUUUGACGAGUUAGAAGAUCUGUGAAGAAGAAACUCGAACCUUACCAAUCUACCUGAAUCAACUCUGACCAACGCUCAAGAUCGAAUCAACACAGACAUUCAGUCCAUUGUAAGCUACGCCCCCGGAAAUGAAAUUAGUAUCUCUGAGUCCGACAUUGAGAAAUGCUACAGGGUAGGGAGGUUGGUACAAUCUGAAAAACCCCGCCCGCUAAUUGUCCGGUUCGUGAGCCAAAAAAUAUUUCAGGACGAAAAAGCCUACGAUGAUCUCCUAAUGAGUCCAAGGUUAAGGUAUCCCCUGAUCUGACUAAACAACAACAAGCGAAACUGCGAACAGCUUACCAAGCAACCAACGCAAAAAAAGUAAAAGUAGUACCUGGAAAAAAGUGGAUAGUGAGCAAAUCACGCGACCGCCAAAGAGUAAUCCUUAUAAAAGACCCAAACAAAGAGCGAUCCACGAAAAGUAUUGAGAGUGUGCUUUUGGAACAUUAGACGUGGAUUCCUCAACAAGGAGUCCGAAAUCUACGAAUACAAUAUUGACGUGCUGUUCCUAAUUGAGGCAGACAUUGGAUCAGUCUCGGCCACUGCUUGUGCCUCGUGCAAUUUAGAAUUAUUAGGCGACACCUUAACAGCUUAGGUGUCAACCUAAGGUGGCGAAACUUGUUGUGCUCAUCCGAUCAAGCUUGGUCAUGGAGUACGGCAGUAGUGGAGAGGAAAGCUCUCUGAAACCUCGCUAGAAGACGUCUCAGUUUUGCGUUACCCCCUAAUUGAGAGCUUAAACAUGAAAGAGGAAUUCAUUGAGCACUCUCUCAGGGGAAAUGCGUCUGAUCAGGAGGUAAAGCAUUGUUCUACAAAACCUCGCUAGCAGAAGUUCGAUCUUCGACCGAGCUUUCCACUCCACUACAGUCGUACUCCAUGGUUUGGUACGGUAUUCGGCUGUCCCUCAAUCUGGAUGGAGGUCUCACUCGGUGGAUGGAAAAUCCAAUUGUGUGGAGUUUAUAGGGAGUGGAAAGAUUCAGAUGGAAGUGGACAGGUUUCCUCCCAAAGGGAAAGUUUCCAGGGGUUCCUAGAUCAAGUAGCAACGGCCCAUACUCUUAAGAUACCGAUUAUCAUUCUGGGCGAUUUUGACUUAGAUGCAAAAUUCACCGAUACCAGCUACACUUAAAAGGCUCUUGUUCAUGAUCUGCAAACCUGCAUGGCAUUGCAUGACUUAGAGCUGCGAAGUGUUGGGGACACUCAUUUGCGUCGCCAAACGACGGUGGGUCUCUCCAUUGUUCAAUCGGUAAUCGACCUUUUAUUUGCUACAAGCACCAAGCAAGAGUUACCGUUUGGGCGAUCGCCAAUGGAAUGAGUGACUACGUUUCCCAUUACUCUAUUUCAUCUAAUUUGAUGCUUGAGUGGGCAUGCAAUAAACAAUAAAAAGAUAAACGUGCCUAUUUUGUCAAGCCUGUCGCUUUGCCAGGACGGGCCAAGAGGAGCAUGGACAUUAGUGACAAAAAGGUGCUUUGAGCGUUUUGAUUGCCUCGCAUUCAAAACACAUCUUGCGUCCCACCCAUGGGAAGACAUCGCUAUGGCAAAUGGACCAGACGAAAUGGUCAAUAUAUUUGAUGCUUUCAUUAUACAAUCUCUUGACGUGUUCGCUCCGAUCAAGACCUUUCAGAUUCCCCCAGGAUACCAAAAAGGCCUGUCUGAUGGCAUCAAAGUCCUCGUGGAAUAGCGGAACGCACUAAGAGAAGAAACUUGUGUAAUUUCUGAGUCGGCUCGGGAGGAAGCUUGGAAAAAAGCAACAAGAGGGAAGCUAAGGCAUGUGGAAGGCUCUCAGGAUAAUUACAAAGCCAGAGCAUCAUUGAUGGGUGCUGAAUUACUCGCGUUAACCAUCACCUAUAUAAUAAACCCGUCAAUAACCAGUGGCGUGUUCCCAUCAAGAUGGAAGAGAGCUAAAGUUGUCCCCAUACAUAAGAAGGGGAGACGAGAUGAAAAAGCUAACUUCCCGCCAAUCUCCCUUCUUCCCAAGACGCCCAAAAUCCUGGAGUCAAUUGUGCGGGACCCGAUGGUAGAAUUUGGUGAGACAAAUUUGCUGAUCCUCAACUCUCAGCAUGGCUUCCAGGCAAUAACCCAGAGCCUGGGUGUGCUUGGACGUUUAGCUGCUCAUCUCGCAAGGAAUGCACUUCUACCUGUGGUUCACGGUCAGGUUCUAUCAAAGUUGCGUUAUUGCCUCGCCGUGUACUAGUAAUAGUGAGCCCAGGGAACGGGACAAUGAUCGGCUCCAAGUGGUUUUGAACCGGGCCAUGCGCUUUCUUGUGGGUGCCAUAGUAUCCAAACGUCUAUCAAUAGAUAGCCUGAUCAAGACGACAGGGAUCCCCUCAGUAAAUCAAUUGGCACUCAAUGUACCCUCGCGGAGACUCGAAACGCAGUUUUGGGUGAUAUUCUUGGAAUUUCUGAACGCCUUUGCUUGAACUGAAGAGGAGCUCCAUUCCCAGACCUGUUCGGACUUGGAACAGUGUGCCUCAUGAACUAAGGGCGGAGAUGUGCCAUCAAAAGUUCAAAAUAAAAAUUCAAGCAUACCUCUCGACCCUGCCAAUUUAGAACCUCAAUUUGCUGUUUGUUUUUUCCUGCCAAGAUAAUUCAAGUAAAAAAGUGUAAUGAAGCACUUAAGAGACAAAUACAUACAAACAUACAAGAACACAAG